AAUCUAAUAACAGUAGAUAGCUGAUUGUGUUUUUUUUCCACUUAUUUAUUAUCGUAUGACGAUUUUUCGUCCUCCAAAUGCAUUUUGUUUCGGAUCGCAAACAAGUUAGCCGGAAAGGGAAGGAGGCAUUAUUGAAUAUCACUGUACAACCUAUCACCAAUUAUUUGAGGGAAAUAUUUAUCUGAGUCACAUCGGUUUCAAAGUACAGUCGUAUUAUUCCGAGAGUUUCUGUAUAGAUGAGAUUGCAGCCAGUGAAUGCAACAAAAUGAAUAAUCGUACCAGUAUUGAUAGAAUAUGGAUUGGAACAACGGACGGAUAAAUUUAAAUGCCCGGAAAUGUAUAACAUUGAAAUACUGUUUGAACGAAACAAGCUUGCAAUCCUGAAAUGAGUAAUAUAUUCAAUCAUUUUCGGAGUCAAUUACGCAACGAUUGACACGCAGGAAUUUUCAUAAGCUUAACAAUAAAAACGUCGCAGGAACACCGUACCAACUUAAUGUCUGUACGUACAGAAUUUUGAGGUAGUCUGUACCAAUUAAUAUACGUAUUAUGUGAUUCAAUUUUCGAAAUACCAACUACAAUUUUCGGUCUUCAUAUUUCCUAGCGCUUUCGCUAUAUUUUUGACAUUACCGCACGGUGGUGAUAAAAAAUCUUAAAUUUCUUUAAUUAUGACAGAAGUUGUAUAGAAAAAAUGUGACUAAAAUUCCAUUUAUUUUUUUACAUGUGGAUAAAAUUAUGAGACGAGAAUGAAUCAAAUUCAUUACACAUUGCGAAUGUAAUUUCGAAGAAAAAUUUACGCAACAGUGGCUGUUUUCAUGUUCAGAGGGUAAUUCAAAUCACCUGUUAAAAUAACGAAUUGAACAAACCGUGAGUGCGACACACGUGACGACUUGCUUCAUUGCAAAGCUUAGCGAUGGAUUAAAAACAGAAUAUAGAAGAAUCACGUUAUUGCCUGAAUUUAAGUAUUUAUUCAAGUGGUUUGACGAAUGCAAUGGAACGAGGGAAACAAGACGUUUGGAAAAUUUUGUCCCAAUUGCAGAUAAUGCAUAAGACGUGAAUUGCAUUGAUGUUUACGUACAACUGCACUGCUGGUUGAACUAUAUUGUAAUUCAACGAUAAGAUUUUUCAAUUUGCACAGAUUACCAUUCCACUAGACUCAACUUGUGGAGGCUCUCGUUUAUUCAGUGGUCGAAAUGACAAUU